UGGGGAAUUUUGGACAAUGGGGGCAACCCUGAUCCAGCAAUGCCGCGUGUGUGAAGAAGGCCUUUGGGUUGUAAAGCACUUUUGUCCGGGAAGAAAUCGCACCUGAUAAUACCGGGUGUGGAUGACGGUACCGGAAGAAUAAGGACCGGCUAACUAUGUGCCAGCAGCCGCGGUAAUACGUAGGGUGCAAGCGUUAAUCGGAAUUACUGGGCGUAAAGCGUGCGCAGGCGGUUGUGCAAGACCGAUGUGAAAUCCCCGGGCUUAACCUGGGAAUUGCAUUGGUGACUGCACGGCUAGAGUGUGUCAGAGGGGGGUAGAAUUCCACGUGUAGCAGUGAAAUGCGUAGAGAUGUGGAGGAAUACCGAUGGCGAAGGCAGCCCCCUGGGAUAACACUGACGCUCAUGCACGAAAGCGUGGGGAGCAAACAGG
rnacentral:rRNA from 1 species